AUUGAACGCUGGCGGCAUGCCUUACACAUGCAAGUCGAACGCGAAAGGGGGGCAACUCCUGAGUAGAGUGGCGCACGGGUGAGUAAUGCAUCGGAACGUGUCCUGUAGCGGGGGAUAACCUAGCGAAAGCUAGGCUAAUACCGCAUACGUCCUACGGGAGAAAGUGGGGGAUCGUAAGACCUCUCACUAUAGGAGCGGCCGAUGCCGGAUUAGCUAGUUGGUGGGGUAAAAGCCUACCAAGGCGACGAUCCGUAGCUGGUCUGAGAGGAUGAUCAGCCACACUGGGACUGAGACACGGCCCAGACUCCUACGGGAGGCAGCAGUGGGGAAUUUUGGACAAUGGGGGAAACCCUGAUCCAGCCAUGCCGCGUGAGUGAAGAAGGCCUUCGGGUUGUAAAGCUCUUUCGGCCGGGACGAAAUCGCACGCGUGAAUAUCGCGUGUGGAUGACGGUACCGGAAGAAGAAGGACCGGCUAACUACGUGCCAGCCGCCGCAGUAA
rnacentral:rRNA from 1 species